GAUGAACGCUGGCGGCGUGCCUAAUGCAUGCAAGUCGAGCGAACAGACGAGGAGCUUGCUCCUCUGACGUUAGCGGCGGACGGGUGAGUAACACGUGGAUAACCUACCUAUAAGACUGGGAUAACUUCGGGAAACCGGAGCUAAUACCGGAUAAUAUAUUGAACCGCAUGGUUCAAUAGUGAAAGACGGUUUUGCUGUCACUUAUAGAUGGAUCCGCGCCGCAUUAGCUAGUUGGUAAGGUAACGGCUUACCAAGGCAACGAUGCGUAGCCGACCUGAGAGGGUGAUCGGCCACACUGGAACUGAGACACGGUCCAGACUCCUACGGGGGGCAGCAGUAGGGAAUCUUCCGCAAUGGGCGAAAGCCUGACGGAGCAACGCCGCGUGAGUGAUGAAGGUCUUCGGAUCGUAAAACUCUGUUAUUAGGGAAGAACAAAUGUGUAAGUAACUAUGCACGUCUUGACGGUACCUAAUCAGAAAGCCACGGCUAACUACGU
rnacentral:rRNA from 1 species